UAGCAGUAGGGAAUCUUCCACAAUGGGCGAAAGCCUGAUGGAGCAACGCCGCGUGAGUGAAGAAGGAUUUCGGUUCGUAAAACUCUGUUGUAAGGGAAGAACAAGUACAGUAGUAACUGGCUGUACCUUGACGGUACCUUAUUAGAAAGCCACGGCUAACUACGUGCCAGCAGCCGCGGUAAUACGUAGGUGGCAAGCGUUGUCCGGAAUUAUUGGGCGUAAAGCGCGCGCAGGUGGUUUUUUAAGUCUGAUGUGAAAGCCCACGGCUCAACCGUGGAGGGUCAUUGGAAACUGGAGACUUGAAGGCCAGAAAGGGGAAA
rnacentral:rRNA from 1 species